AUCGAACGCUGGCGGCAUGCCUUAACAUGCAAGUCGAACGGCAGCACGGGAGCAAUCCUGGUGGCGAGUGGCGAACGGGUGAGUAAUAUAUCGGAACGUGCCCAGGUCGUGGGGGAUAACGUAGCGAAAGCUACGCUAAUACCGCAUACGAUCUACGGAUGAAAGCGGGGGAUCGCAAGACCUCGCGCGAUUGGAGCGGCCGAUAUCAGAUUAGCUAGUUGGUGGGGUAAAAGCUCACCAAGGCGACGAUCUGUAGCUGGUCUGAGAGGACGACCAGCCACACUGGAACUGAGACACGGUCCAGACUCCUACGGGAGGCAGCAGUGGGGAAUUUUGGACAAUGGGCGCAAGCCUGAUCCAGCAAUGCCGCGUGCAGGAUGAAGGCCUUCGGGUUGUAAACUGCUUUUGUACGGAACGAAACGGUGAGCUCUAAUAAAGCUUGCUAAUGACGGUACCGUAAGAAUAAGCACCGGCUAACUACGUG
rnacentral:rRNA from 1 species